GUCCACGCUGUAAACGAUGGGCACUAGGUGUCGCGGGUAUUGACCCCUGCGGUGCCGCAGCUAACGCAUUAAGUGCCCCGCCUGGGGACUACGGCCGCAAGGUUAAAACUCAAAGGAAUUGACGGGGGCCCGCACAAGCGGUGGAGCAUGUGGUUCAAUUCGACGCAACGCGAAGAACCUUACCCGGGCUAGACAACGGAGGACAGCCUUAGAAACAAGGUCUUCCCUUCGGGGACCUCCGGUUCAGGUGCUGCAUGGCUGUCGU
rnacentral:rRNA from 1 species